GUGCCUCAAUCCCCUACUGAGCGCUCAAUCCCUUAUGCGCCAGAACCCGUUGCUGGGCAUGCAGAGCUGGGAAGCUGUGGCCUCUAUUCUGCUGGUGGUGGGAUGGGACCCUGGCCUGGGGCUCCAGAGAAAGGGCAGGCUCUGUUUGGUUGGAGGAGAAUCUAGAAGAGCUUCUGCAGGAGGUGGCAUUUGAGAUGAAAUUUGAAGAAAAGGAGAUGUUUUUGAGGAAGACAUCAGCAUGUGCAAAGGUCCAGAGGUGGGAACGAGCUGAGAUUUUUUGAGGAAUGAGCCACCUCCCGCCAUGGGCCAGUCUGGCUGGAAACUGUAGGAGUGAAUAAGAGAAGGAUCCAUGUGAGUGCGUGGUCAAAAUAGAAGUUGCCGUGGAAAGGCGAGAGAUGAGUCUGCCAGUGAGAGCCUGUCUGGAUGUCGUCAGCUGUGAUGGGCCUACAGGUUGUCACGGACUUGGCGGCUCUCCGACGACUGCUGAGCAGUCUUCUAUGUAUAAGAAUCCAGAGCCUGUCGGGAUGAACCAGGGUGUAGGGAGUCAGUGUUAAUGGCGCUUGGGAGCUGGGUUCAGCGGGGAGGUUCCUCAGAAGGGUCCGGACUCCAUCACAAUCAUUGCAGAUGGAGUUGGACUCUAGCCAGCAGAGAGGAGUAGUCACAGAAACUGUGGAGGCCAGAACAAGCUGAUCUGAGCCCUAGGGGGUUAAAAUUCUUUCUUCCCUCCCCACUCACCUCAGAAAAGUGACCUGGGACCUUGUGACCAAGCAAGUGAAAAUUCAAUUCAUUAUCUCAUAAAUGCCUUCAAGAGUUGGUAGACCUAAGAGUACAAAAGAAUACAAGAUUCCCCCCACUUCCAAAAAUCCUAAGAGUUGAAAGGGUGAAUACAUGUGCAUAUGGUCAGAGUUGAAACCUACAAAUGCAGGCACAUGAUCAACCCUGUGUAGGCAUAGACAAGAAUUAAGGAGUGUGUGGAUUACCAGAAUCCAGGGAUUGGGCUGAAGAGCUGGGGAGACAAACCCUCAUUUUUUUUUAUGCCUGUGACAUAGAACUUAGGGAGUCCCCCUAGGCCACCACAUCCAGGAGAAAUUCCCUAUCCUAAGCAACCUCAACUGAAGGGCUCAUAACGGCCUUCUUGGGGGCUAAGCCACCCCAGUUAACUGAGAUAAUGUUUUUUCUUUGUGGGUGUACAUUUUUUUCACUCCAGGAGAUUUGGGGUUAUGUUAAGACAGGCUUAUGGGAAUUAAAACCAUAGUAUUUUAUUUUUCUGUUAUACACUUACUUGUAAUGCUAAGAUAAUUUUGCCUAUUAAAGUGAGAAUCUAAUCAUCCUAAUUUAAAAUGUAAUUGAGCAAUUAGAUGUGUGAGUUUACAUUGAAAUCUUACUAAACUUAUGCUCAGUCCUAGAAUAUUUCAGAGCAUUUUAGGUUCACAGUAUAUAUACAUUUAAUUUACUAGCUGUAAAUGAAUUAGUUAUGUCCCCAGGGAGAUUUUGCUCAAAACAGGCAAAUGAGUUUAAAAGGAAAUCCAACAGAUGACUUUAAAGAUGUUAUUGAAGUACAUCAUAUACUCUGACAAGUCCUGAGAUGACAAAGUGAACCGGUAUCCAUGUAACCAGCACCAGAUCAAGAUGCCUCACAAUACUUGAACCUGGAAAACCUCUCAGCAGGUCCCUCCUGCAGCCAGUCCCCCUCCAAGGGAAACCACUCACUCCAAACAUUACAUUUAUAAAGGCAAUAUAAAUUGUUUGAGAUGUCUUUAAUUACGUUUGUAAACGCGAUCAAAUGUUCGAAGACUUCUUAGAAGCAGCUGCUAAAACCCGCUU
rnacentral:lncRNA from 10 species